ensembl:lncRNA
AAUAAAGAAUCUUCUUGUAAUGGGACCAGAUUUUUAAAACAACUUCUCAGGUUAUGAAUACACACUUCAGUCUAUUUUCCUCUUGUGAGGUCUUUUCUCCUUUGUGAGAUGGUCUGUUAGCUUGAGAUUCUUUCAUCACUCAUCCUCUGACUCAUCUCCCUAGGCAAGCAAGCUUGUUCAGGAAGUAAAAGAGGGACAGAAAAGCAUCUGAGGGAGAGGUGUGAAUGCCAAGAGCCAUCUCAAAGGAAACUGGCCACCCCUGCGAUCCCAGCAUAUGGUGAGAAGCUAUGAGGUCAGAUACCCACAGCUGUCUGAUAUGAGACAAACUCUCCACUCUCCAUGGGUUAAAGCUAUUAAAGGAGUAGAAACAGUAAUCCAUGGCACUCAGCAAUGGAUUAGUUGAUUACAACCUGUCACCUGGAAAUGAAGGGCCACACUGCGUGGCAGCUACAGUGGACCAUUAUGGAAGCACAGGAAUAAAAGGGAUGUAGAUGUGGGCUGCCUACA